rnacentral:rRNA from 1 species
UUCUGCUAGACUAGCUCCAACCCAAUGUGAACGUUACCAAACUGUUGCCUCGGCGGGAUCUCUGCCCCGGGUGCGUCGCAGCCCCGGACCAAGGCGCCCGCCGGAGGACCAACCAAAACUCUUAUUGUAUACCCCCUCGCGGGUUUUUUUAUAAUCUGAGCCUUCUCGGCGCCUCUCGUAGGCGUUUCGAAAAUGAAUCAAAACUUUCAACAACGGAUCUCUUGGUUCUGGCAUCGAUGAAGAACGCAGCGAAAUGCGAUAAGUAAUGUGAAUUGCAGAAUUCAGUGAAUCAUCGAAUCUUUGAACGCACAUUGCGCCCGCCAGUAUUCUGGCGGGCAUGCCUGUCCGAGCGUCAUUUCAACCCUCGAACCCCUCCGGGGGGUCGGCGUUGGGGAUCGGCCCUGCCUUGGCGGUGGCCGUCUCCGAAAUACAGUGGCGGUCUCGCCGCAGCCUCUCCUGCGCAGUAGUUUGCACACUCGCAUCGGGAGCGCGGCGCGUCCACAGCCGUUAAACACCCAACUUCUGAAAUGUUGACCUCGGAUCAGGUAGGAAUACCCGCUGAACUUAAGCAUAUCAAUAAAGCCGGAGGAA